rnacentral:rRNA from 1 species
GCAGUCGCCGCGGGAAUACGAAGGGGGCUAGCGUUGUUCGGAUUAACUGGGCGUAAAGGGCGCGUAGGCGGGUUUCUAAGUCAGAGGUGAAAUCCCAAGGCUCAACCUUGGAACUGCCUUUGAUACUGGAAGUCUUGAGUCCGGGAGAGGUGAGUGGAACUGCGAGUGUAGAGGCGAAAUUCGUAGAUAUUCGGAGGAACACCAGUGGCGAAGGCGGCUCACUGGUCCAUUACUGACGCUGAGGUGCGAAAGCGUGGGGAGCAAACAGGAUUAGAUACCCCGGUAGUCCCUGUCUCUUAUAC